UGCUUUAGACUGAGGGAAAGCACACACCUGGGCUCAGGUUCCCACUCUGCCAUUCACUUGGAGCAAGACUUAGCUCCAGUGGACUGCAGUUUGGCUUCCAUCCCAAGAGAGAAAAACAUCUCCUCAGAUUUUCCACACGCCCGCCCCAUCCCGCUGGCCCAAUGCCAAACCUUCCCAGGCAGCCUGGGGCAGGGCUGCUGCUCUGGAGAAAGAUGGAGGUAUUUUAAAUGAAGAAGACAAACCUAACUUUCAACGAACUAGGAGGGGAAAAAAUCCUAGAAUCGAAUUCCUCUUUGCUCUGGAAAACAAAUCGCCUCCCUUUGGGUUUUAGAAGGACCAUCUGGCAAGUGAAUUGGCCUCUCCGCUUUCCAUCGAAGGAGCCAGGAGAAACGCUGUCUGCACGCCCCUGGCCUGGCCUUGGAGGAGUGCUUUUGAUCUGAUGGCCUUGCAGGAGGCAUGCCACCUACCUCUGCUGCCUUUCUGUUUGAAGGGCUGUGAGUUUCCCUUUCUGUCCUCCAGGAAGAAUUUAUGAUUUCCUCUCUGUCCUCUUAGUCCCUGAAUGCAAGAGAUAGCUCCCCUCACUCACUGCAGAUGCUGCGGGGUAUCAUUUAAAGUCUGCUGACAUGGUGGGUGAGAGGAGAGCAAUGUGGCCAACAUGGGAUCCUGUCCUCUGGGUCCCCUCUCCGCUGGCAGAGGGGGCUUUCUCCACUGAUAAAUACAAUAAUAAUAAAAACAGUGUUUGUAAUUUGCAAGGAAUGCUAUGCUUUUCUUUCUUAAAAAAUUCUUUUUCCUUUUGAAAAUUGUAAUGCACUUGCACUAUGGGAAGUAUAGAUCAGCAAAAUGGG
rnacentral:lncRNA from 1 species